rnacentral:rRNA from 1 species
AUAAUCAUUUGCCUCCUAAUUAGAGGCUAGAAUGAAAGAAUAAACAUUUAUUUUCUGUCUCCUCAUAAAAAAUAAAAAUUUACCUUCAGGUGAAGAGGCCUGUAUAAUAAAAAACGACAAGAAGACCCUGUCAAGCUUUAUUGAUUUCUAUAUUUCCAAUAACAAAAAAUUUAGUUGGGGCAACAAAAAAUAAUAUAAAUCAUUUUUCAACAUAAGGUUUAUUCACCAAGUUAACAAACUUCUUCUAAAUAAAAAGAUAGCUACUGCAGGGAUAACAGGCUAAUACUUUUUGAGAGCUCUUAUCAACAAAAGUGAUUGGCACCUCGAUGU